GAUGAACGCUAUCUACAGGCUUAACACAUGCAAGUCGAGGGGCAUCAGGAAGAAAGCUUGCUUUCUUUGCUGGCGACCGGCGCACGGGUGAGUAACACGUAUCCAACCUGCCCUUUACUCGGGGAUAGCCUUUCGAAAGAAAGAUUAAUACCCGAUAGCAUAAUGAUUCCGCAUGGUUUCAUUAUUAAAGGAUUCCGGUAAAGGAUGGGGAUGCGUUCCAUUAGGUUGUUGGUGAGGUAACGGCUCACCAAGCCUUCGAUGGAUAGGGGUUCUGAGAGGAAGGUCCCCCACAUUGGAACUGAGACACGGUCCAAACUCCUACGGGAGGCAGCAGUGAGGAAUAUUGGUCAAUGGGCGCUAGCCUGAACCAGCCAAGUAGCGUGAAGGAUGAAGGCUCUAUGGGUCGUAAACUUCUUUUAUAUAAGAAUAAAGUGCAGUAUGUAUACUGUUUUGUAUGUAUUAUAUGAAUAAGGAUCGGCUAACUCCGUGCCAGCAGCCGCGGUAAUACGGAGGAUCCGAGCGUUAUCCGGAUUUAUUGGGUUUAAAGGGAGCGUAGGUGGACUGGUAAGUCAGUUGUGAAAGUUUGCGGCUCAACCGUAAAAUUGCAGUUGAUACUGUCAGUCUUGAGUACAGUAGAGGUGGGCGGAAUUCGUGGUGUAGCGGUGAAAUGCUUAGAUAUCACGAAGAACUCCGAUUGCGAAGGCAGCUCACUGGACUGCAACUGACACUGAUGCUCGAAAGUGUGGGUAUCAAACAGG
rnacentral:rRNA from 1 species